ACGGAGGGUGCAAGCGUUAUCCGGAUUCACUGGGUUUAAAGGGUGCGUAGGCGGGCAGGUAAGUCAGUGGUGAAAUCCCCGAGCUUAACUUGGGAACUGCCGUUGAUACUAUCUGUCUUGAAUGUUGUGGAGGUAAGCGGAAUAUGUCAUGUAGCGGUGAAAUGCUUAGAUAUGACAUAGAACACCUAUUGCGAAGGCAGCUUGCUACACAAUUAUUGACGCUGAGGCACGAGAGCGUGGGGAUCAAACAGGA
rnacentral:rRNA from 1 species